UCCCACCUACGGGAGGCAGCAGUAGGGAAUCUUCCACAAUGGACGAAAGUCUGAUGGAGCAACGCCGCGUGAGUGAAGAAGGGUUUCGGCUCGUAAAGCUCUGUUGGUAGUGAAGAAAGAUAGAGGUAGUAACUGGCCUUUAUUUGACGGUAAUUACUUAGAAAGUCACGGCUAACUACGUGCCAGCAGCCGCGGGAAUACGUAGGUGGCAAGCGUUGUCCGGAUUUAUUUGGCGUAAAGCGAAUGCGGGCGGUUUAAUAAGUCUGAUGUGAAAGCCUUCGGCUCAACCGGAGAAUUGCAUCAGA
rnacentral:rRNA from 1 species